rnacentral:rRNA from 1 species
UGGUUUACUAGUCCGAAUUGUAGUUUAAAGAAGCGUUUUCGGUGGCAGUCUCGGUAUAAAUCCUUUGGAAUAGGGUAUCAUAGAGGGUGAGAAUCCCGUCUUUGACUGAGAAUUUGCUACUAUGUGAUACGUUUUCAAAGAGUCGAGUUGUUUGGGAAUGCAGCUCAAAAUGGGUGGUAAAUUUCAUCUAAAGCUAAAUAUUGGCGAGAGACCGAUAGCGAACAAGUACCGUGAGGGAAAGAUGAAAAGAACUUUGAAAAGAGAGUUAAACAGUGCGUGAAAUUGUUGAAAGGGAAACGCUUGAAACCAGUCAUGUGGUUGGAAAAUCAGUGUUCAACUGGGGGGAAUGGGGGAGGUGUGGACCGCAAGGCUGCUCUUUUCUAUAUCUCUUUUGUUGGGCAUGCACUUUUUCUUCUGCAGGUCAACAUCAGUUUCUUUUGCUGGACAAAACUCUUGAGAAGGUAGCAGCUUAGGCUGUGUUAUAGCUCUGGAGCGAUACAGUGGAGGAGACUGAGGUUUUCGCAGCAUGUGCUCUCGGGCAAGGCCAAUUGGGUGCUAUGGGAUCGUUCGGGGUACAAUACAUGUAUUUUGCCUCGUGUCUUUUCUAUACUCGUUCAGUUGAGCUCUUCCAUGCUUAGGAUGUUGACUUAAUGGUUUUAAUCGACCCGUCUUGAAACACGGACCAAGGAGUCUAACAUAUAUGCAAGUGUUUGGGUGGCAAACCCAUGCGCGUAAUGAAAGUGAACGUAGGUGCCAUCCGCAAGGUGCAGCAUCGACCGAUCUUGAUAUUUUUGGAUAGAUUUGAGUAAGAGCAUAUAUGCUGGGACCCGAAAGAUGGUGAACUAUGCCUGAAUAGGGUGAAGCCAGAGGAAACUCUGGUGGAGGCUCGUAGCGAUUCUGACGUGCAAAUCGAUCGUCAAAUUUGGGUAUAGGGGCGAAAGACUAAUCGAACCAUCAGAGCGCCCA